AAUUUACUAUUCUAAAAUGCAUUUUUAUAUAAAAAUGCCGAUCAAACGCCCCCUUAAUCUCAUAUUUUCCUUCUUUAGAUGGAGAUUUAUCUAUGGUUACAUGUGCCUGUAUUCAAUACUUUGAUGAAUGUGUGGCAUGAAUCUUGUAUACUAUAUUCGUUUUUAUCUUCUCUCUUUUAAAAUGCACUUUUCAGUACUAUUUGAAGCUAGCGAGGUCAUUGUCCAUGUAAAAAAAUUACUUCCCUACAUUUCUUUUUAAACUAGAAACAGAAGUUUAAGUUCUCCACUGACGCAGAAGUUUAACCAAUUUACUUGCACUAAUAAUCUUACUGAUAGCAUACAGAGGCAUAAGUACAUUUUUUUUAAUUAAAAAUACAUCUUAAUUACGUUGGUCCUGGAACUUAUUUUGGACUAGCUACAUUUCUGGUGUUCUGCAGUUGUGGGAUUCAGAACUAGUGUGCCGGAUCUCAUUGCAUCCAGCAGUUCAUAGAGUUGUGGCAUUAGGAACUCUCUGUGCCAUUGAACUGGAAGCUGAAGGCAGUAAUGUUGGGUAUGCUUCCAUGUAUGCAAGUUCUCUUGUGAAGAAGCUACGCGAGGAUGGCAUCCAUAUGAGGCCGCUUGGUAAUGUCAUUUAUGUUAUGUGCGGGCCUUGCACAUCAACUCAUGUUUGCCACGGCAUUCUGGAGAAAAUUUUUGCUAGAAUUCAGGAGUUUAGCCAAGUGAAUAGCUCAGCAAUGUAUAGUUGAGCAUGUUAAUCAGAAUUGCUUUUUUCACUAUAAAACGUUGAUAUUUUGACAUUUUAAACGUCUUAAAUUUGUGUGCCUCCAAAAAUUGAUGGGUGAGUCAACCAAAAUGCAGGGAGGCCUCACUUGCCUUUAAAAGUGAGUUCAAUAAAUGGGUGUCGGCACGACCUGUCGUCUCUAUACGAUCAUAAACGAGUUGCCUAAGCACUCUCGACAAGACGGGUCAAAUCAGCAUCCCAGAUCAAAAUCGGAAUCAACACCCAGUUUUGGUGAUCAGAAUCAUAUCAGUGGGAUGAUUAUAAGUUGGAGGGGCCAAAGAGAGAUGUAGUUCUUUACCCCAAGGGACAAAAAAUACCCAAAAGGGCAAAGACCAACACGAGCUGCAAAAAUUGGAUUUUGGAAAGCAACUGGAGCUGAUAAAACUAUCGAGCACAAUGGGAAAGUUGUUGGAUGUAAAAAGACUUUGGUAUUCUUCAAGGACAAAUCUCCUGAUGGAAAGACCUCUUGGAUUAUGCAUGAAUAUAAAGCGAAUGAUCUCCCGCCACGAAAACAAAAAAAUGAAGAUGACAUGAAAGUAUAUUUCUCUUUUUUCCAUUUCGAUAUCUUUCAUUCAGAUUAUGUUAAUUUAUUUAAUGGCCCAUUUCUUACUAAUCUCUUCUAUGAGAAGUAGAAGCCUUGUCUUAAUUCUCUUCACUUACCACUUUUUAUGCAAUUUUUCUUGGAGUUGGACGAUUGGGUUUUGUGUAGAAUAUACAGCAACAUUAGAAACCCAAAAGGGAGGAAACAUGUGUUCAGAUUCAAGAAACAAAUAAUUACACAAAUGAAGCUGUUGUGAGGCAACAAAAUGAACCUACAACAGGUCGAACGGAGCUUUACAACAGGACUUUCAGGCUUUUAACAAAAUCGAGUUGAUGGAAAUGCCAAAUUUCUACCUAGACAUUGGGGAUUACAACAUGGAAGAUUUUAACUAUGAUUUUUCUGAUGAUUAUGCUAAUUGUCUUCAUGACCCUCAAGGGUCAAAUUUUCAAUCCAUAUCCCUCAAUUUGGAUACAGGCACUUAUAUUACUAAUCCAGUUCCCAUUUUCGCGAUGCCACCAAAUAGUUUCAUAGGAGGUUAUGAUUAUGGACAAUAUUCUAUUGAGAAUCCACAGAAGCUGAUUGGACGUCGAUAUCAAGAUGUAUUUAAACUUUCAAUGAUGGACCCUAAUGGGUUUCAUGAUUUUACACAUUGUCAAGUUUUGACAGGACAAUAUCAGGAGAACAAAUAUGGCAUUCCAACAACACGAGGAGAACAACAGUGGAAUUUUAUAGAUGGACAAUAGCAGUUUACUGGGUUCGAUUGUUGAAAUGGCUACUAACCUGAAAGGUUUCGUUCCUCCCAAUACUGAUAAGUAUAUGUCGAUGACGACCGUCUAUGUGGUGUCGAUAGACGUUUCUUUUAAUACGCAUUCUUUUAUUUUUUAUUUUUUAAUG